UGGGGAAUAUUGCACAAUGGACGGAAGUUUGAUGCAGCGACGCCGCGUGGAGGGUGUAGGCCUUCGGGUUGUGAACUCCUUUUUCUCGCGAAAAAGGCACAGUUUUGGCUGUGUUGAUGGUAGUGGGGGAAGAAGCGCCGGCUAACUACGUGCCAGCAGCCGCGGUAAUACGUAGGGCGCGAGCGUUGUCCGGAUUUAUUGGGCGUAAAGAGCUCGUAGGUGGUUCGUCGCGUCUGUCGUGAAAGCCAGCAGCUUAACUGUUGGUCUGCGGUGGGUACGGGCGGGCUUGAGUGCGGUAGGGGUGACUGGAAUUCCUGGUGUAGCGGUGGAAUGCGCAGAUAUCAGGAGGAACACCGAUGGCGAAGGCGGGUCACUGGGCCGUUACUGACACUGAGGAGCGAAAGCGUGGGGAGCGAACAGG
rnacentral:rRNA from 1 species